CCUACGGGAGGCAGCAGUGAGGAAUAUUGGUCAAUGGGCGGGAGCCUGAACCAGCCAAGUCGCGUGAGGGAAGACGGUCCGAUGGAUUGUAAACCUCUUUAGGCGGGGAGCAAUGCCGGGCACGCGUGCCCGGAGGGAGAGUACCCGCAGAAUAAGCAUCGGCUAACUCCGUGCCAGCAGCCGCGGUAAUACGGAGGAUGCGAGCGUUAUCCGGAUUGAUUGGGUUUAAAGGGUGCGUGGGCGGAUUUUUAAGUCAGCGGUAAAAUGUCCGGGCUCAACCCGGGCCGGCCGUUGAAACUGGGGAUCUUGAGUGGGCGAGAAGUAUGCGGAAUGCGUGGUGUAGCGGUGAAAUGCAUAGAUAUCACGCAGAACUCCGAUUGCGAAGGCAGCAUACCGGCGCCCGACUGACGCUGAGGCACGAAAGCGUGGGGAUCGAACAGGAUUAGAUACCCGUGUAGUC
rnacentral:rRNA from 1 species